CAUUCACUAGAAGCUUCAAGAGAAAGAAAAAAAAAAAAAAAAAAGUCAGAGAGAGGAGCAAGAAGGCCAUUCGGCCAUAGUAGAAAAAAGAGAGAAAAAAAUUUAGCCAUCAACCUUUGACCCAAAGAUCCUAAUUUUCUAGUAUUCCUACUAAGCUCAAGACCCUCUUCGACGGGAUAUAAAUUUUGAGGCAAGAAAGUACUUUUUUUUAGCAAGUGGAAAAAAUGAAAAAGAUCUUGGAGAGCCCAAGACUUGAGUCGAGAUUUGUUUAGCGAGUGAUCGGGAUUUGUUAGCAAGUGAUUGAGAGAUUUGAAACCUUCUGGAGUAUGAUGUGUUGUGGCGCCAGCGUCGGAGUGGCGACCACGUUCCUGAGCCUUAUGCAUGAUUUUUAUUUGCAUUACAUAUGUUUUUAAAACAGGUACAGACGUUUGUUCUGGUAACCCGCCAGUGUAGGAUACAUUCUGCUACUUUGGAGUGCUCCUUUGACUCGGAGCCCAUACUUUUGGUAAAGAUCUUUCAUUGUAUAUGUCUCUGUAUAUAUGUAUGACUAUCUGGGGUAUGGCGGGGCCCUGCCCCGUCAUAUGUUUCUGUUAUGGUUUGUAGAGGCCUAUAGUCAUAUAUGUGGGUCAUGGGUCAUGUUUGUUCGUUUGUGAUUAUGAUCUGCGUCUUAAUGCGGUCCCGUUUGCUAUUACGGCCAAAACGGCCCAUAUGUUUGUAUAUGUGUGUAUAUUUGGGGCGAUGUGUAUUCCGCCAGCCUACAGGAUUUGAUAUGAUGUUUCUGUACGGGCGACCGCUUAAGAUGAUGUAUGUUCUCAAUAUUUGUGCAAAAUAACGUAUGCUAAAUUUGAAUAAGUCUUCGAUA